rnacentral:rRNA from 1 species
UACGGAGGGUGCGAGCGUUGUCCGGAAUCACUGGGCGUAAAGGGCGCGUAGGCGGCCUGAUAAGUAGGGGGUGAAAUCCUGCGGCUUAACCGCAGGGCUGCCUUCUAAACUGUCAGGCUCGAGCACAGUAGAGGCAGGUGGAAUUCCGGGUGUAGCGGUGGAAUGCGUAGAGAUCCGGAAGAACACCGGUGGCGAAGGCGGCCUGCUGGGCAGUUGCUGACACUGAGGCGCGACAGCGUGGGGAGCAACAGG